rnacentral:rRNA from 1 species
UACGGAGGUGGCGAGCGUUGUCCGAAGUUACUGGGCGUAAAGAGCUCGUAGGUGGUUUGUCGCGUUGUUCGUGAAAACUCACAGCUCAACUGUGGGCGUGCGGGCGAUACGGGCAGACUAGAGUACUGCAGGGGAGACUGGAAUUCCUGGUGUAGCGGUGGAAUGCGCAGAUAUCAGGAGGAACACCGGUGGCGAAGGCGGGUCUCUGGGCAGUAACUGACGCUGAGGAACGAAAGCUAGGGGAGCAAACAGG